rnacentral:lncRNA from 1 species
CCCCACCCAAAUGCUUAAUAUAAACAUUGACACCUGGGCUCACUAUCUUGUGAUGUAAGUUAGGCUAGGCUAGUGACCCAAGAAAGUUAUUCUAGGGAGAUUAACACCACCAUCAGUUGUUUUCAUAUAUUUAAGUACAAGAGAAGGCUCAAAAAUAAACAAAGCUUGCUUUUUUCAGGGCAGGAUGCCACAUGUGUAUUCAUGCAUGCCCUUUUUCAGCUUCAGACCCUGCUAAACCAUGCCAAAUUCUCAGUGCAACAAAACCAGCUUAUAACUUGAAUGUAAAUAAGUGACCAGCCAGUCUAAAAUUUUACAUCCAGGAUAUUUAUUUAUAAAAGUGAUAGCUAGGCAUUGUCCAGCAGAGAAACAAACCUCCAAUAUUCUCACGUUCUGUAAUAAACAGGCAGUGCUUAAAACCUUAAGGAGGUAUAUAGCGCUCUUAUUUAGUUAUCUUGGAUCAGUCCAGGAUCAUAUACAGCAGUCAAGAGAAGUGGGCUGAAUUCAGCCACACAGGCGUUCAGCAUCUCUGUGGGGCUGGACAGCUCCUUGCAUAAAGAAUCCCCAAGAAGUUUUUAUAGGGUGGACCAGGGGCACCCACCCACUCCCCAUUACAGGCAAGACGAAAGCUGGAAGGUUGGGUGCUGGAAGGUGGGUGUGACCAGCAACCCACCUAGCACAACUCAUGCAGCACUAGACGCUAAAGAUCUUGGGCCUUUGGUGUCAGACAGGAUAAAUAUUGGGGUUCACAAAUAAAAUUGCAUCCAGAGGGGCCCAGCUUUAUUAAUAAUAUUUUACAAAAUGGGAUUAUGCCUCUUCAAAGCCAUCUCCUUCUCAUGAUUGAGCGAUACAAUCCUGUUCCCAUACAGUACUGCUAACCACCUUGGGUCUCAGCCACAAAAUGCCUAUAGACUGUGCUCUCUACCAGCCUGUACGUCACCAGGAAUACGCCUUAAGGAGCAGAAAUUAAUUACGUAUUUGAUUUCUGUCCCGCUCUUCUUCCUCAAGAAGCUUAGGGUGGCAACGUUUUAAUAAACGUGGGAAUCCCACUUUUUUAAAAAAGCACCCUGCUUGGCAGCCCAUAGUCAGCAGUUUUCAUCCUCCCACCCCCCAUAUACACACACAUAAAGGUAAAGGGACCCCUGUCCAUUAGGUCCAGUCAUGGACGACUCUGGGGUUGCGGCGGUCAUCUCGCUUUAUUGGCCGAGGGAGCCAGCAUACAGCUUCCGGGUCAUGUGGCCAGCAUGACUGAGCCGCUUCUGGCAAAUCAGAGCAGCACACAGAAACGCCGUUUACCUUCCCGCCGGAGCGGUACCUAUUUAUCUACUUGCACUUUGACGUGCUUUCGAACUGCUAGGUUGGCAGGAGCAGGGACCGAGCAACGGGAGCUCACCCCAUGACGGGGAUUCGAACCGCCAACCUUCUGAUCGGCAAGCUCUAGGCUCUGUGGUUUAACCCACAGCGCCACCCGCGUCAUAUACACACAUUCACAUAGUUAAAAGCAAAAACAUUUCUACGGGCUUAUCAUCUUAUUUUGCAUCUACUAUCAGAGCUAAUUAGGUGUCACUACUUUUGCACUUGCUGCUGCACCAGCUGCCUCAGUCAAGCUGGCAAGGUCACCCAAUGGCACUCUCUAGCCCUUGACAGCCAGAACAGACAGCAGCGUUGACUGUCUGGCAUACUCUUCUGAGAAAUGAGGUUUCUCUUUAAUACAGCUGACAAGACUUAAUAAGGCUGUGCAUCAAUGCACCGCUGCUUAAGGGAGAACAACUUCUCCUUGCUUACUGCAACCUGUUGACACUUUCUGCCCCUCCUCCUAUGCUGUCUGAAGCUAUGUGUCAAAGGUGGCAAAACUUGUUCUGCCGGAUGACGAACCUUCUGGGGAAAUCACAGUUUACAGCUGCAAGGCAGUUUAAAUCACAUUGCUUGCUCCUGUAUUUUACAGGAAGCUCAGAAUAUAAAAGGGACCUUCACGCCACUGACUCCUUCAGACUAAAAGGCUUGCCAGCUUCAACGAAAAGCGACUUAAGGUCAUAAAUAUAUUCAGUACACCCUCUGCAAAUGCUGCUGGCUUUGUAAAACUUAACGGUAGAAAACCUGAGUUCAGACAAAAAUGCAUGAAGAGCAGGACAAAUCUUUUCAACCUGGCCACUGAAUGAAGACUCACUGUGUUAAGUGAGUCUUCAAUACUGCUAUCACUACCAUGGCAGGCCAAAUAAUAUAUUGUUAGCGUGUUGUGACAACCAUGCAGGCAGAGUAUCUAUAAUUCCAGAACUCAUCUAAUGAAGCCAAGCCUCUGUUUAGCACAAGAAAUAGCUUCUUCUCACAGUACACAAAUGCGGAAUUUGCUCCCACGAGAGCUAAUGAUGACCACCAACUUGGAUGGCUUUGGCAAAUUAGAUGAAUUAAUGGAGGAUGGAGUUAUGCUAGCCAUUAUGGCUAUACUCCACCUCCAGUGAGCCUUGUGAUUUGCAGCAACUGAUAUUCAAAGAGGAAGAGCAUUGUUGCUCUCAGGUUCCGCUCAUGGGCUUCCCAACGGCAUCUAGUUGGCCACUGUGAGAAUGGGAUUUUGGACUAGGUGGGCCUUUUGGCCUCAUCCAACACAGCUUUCCUAAGGUGCUUCUGAUAUCUCCCAAGCAAAUGAGCCAGUUUAAUGCACCUGCAUCUGGUUAGUUUAAAAGUUACAUAAGGUGGCCUUGAUUUUUAUUACAACAGGAGCUAUUGGACAAUUACUGGGACAAUUACUGUGGUAUUCGAGGUGCAGUGUUAACAUGACCCCAACGAGAGGCAAUGGGGAGUGACAUUUCCAGUAAGGCCAUACCCUGGAUAAAUGAAAGGCACUCAACUAUCCAGCCUGCCUGUAGGUGAACAGAAAAAUCAGCUUCAGGUUAUGUCAACAGACAAGCUCAGGUUUCAGGGUUUAGGCCUCAUUUUGAAACACAAGGUAAGAGUACAAACCAGAAAUCAACUGUGAUCUUAUGCCAGCUAUAAUCAAUUGUCAGAGGGAGGUUUUCCUGUUGUGGCUACCAUGGAAAGCUAGUUGCAUAUAAGAGGGGAAAUAGUAUACCUUUCUUGGGAGGAACUAACUUCUAAAAUACGCAUUUUUUUAUUUAAAAAAAUCCACAUGGAAAUGCAUAAUGAUCUUAACACUGCACUGUUUCAAAACUCAUUUCCCCCUGGAUGAGUAUAGAUCUGAUAAUUAAACCUCUCAACUCCAUCCUCUUCAGAAGCCAAUUUUGUCCUCUCCCCUAGACUUGUAAUGCCCAUGGAACUUCAACCACAAGCCUCACAUUGUGUUCUGCUGAGGUUACUGGCAAAGACAUGUACACACAGGCCAUCUCCCUAGUUUGCUGGGCUUCGCCCAAAAUCUUUCACUUCUUUGAAGUCAAUAAGGGCACUUUGUCACGGGGGGGGUGGUGGUUUGCAUUCAGCAUGCAUAUAUUCACAAAGAGACUGGGCUGAUAUUUUGAGUCGUCCCUGGGGUUAAUGGGAUAAGCAGAAGGAACACAGGCGAGAUAAUGCAGAGCUAGCAGCAGGAUCACCAAACCCCCAGUAUGAAUGGCCGUGUUGUCUUUUACCUUCAUUAACUUCUUCUUUUUUGGUACUAUCAGAAUGCUUAACUGGCAUUACAAACUGGAAAGGAAGACAGUACUGUAGUUACUACAAAUUUAUACCACCAGGGCAGGUCAAAGUCAAGACCUGCCUGGAAACAGCCUUUCUCUAGCAUGAGAAAUUAAGUUCGAUGCAGUGCAGCAGCCCUGUGAAGACCACAAAUGCACAAACAAGGUUAACGAGAAAGCAAAACAAUGCGCAUGCUCCACAAUUUUUGAGAUGGAAAUCACCAGCAACCAUCUACAACUCAACCUCAGCCAUAGCUGUCAACUUUCAGAUUUGAAAGUAAGGGAUCAACAGCCUCAAAAAUAAGGCAUCAGCAGCCUCACCUGUCCCGGGGACAGUCUACAGGAUAUCUAACAAUCCGGGAUAGCAGCGGGAAAUGGCACUGGAAUAAGGGAAUUUCCCACAAAAAAAGGGAAGGUUGACAUCUAUGACCUCAGCUUUCAGCUAACCAGUGCUCACUGCUGUCUAUUUCAGCACAAAUGGUUUGUAGAUUUCAGGUAGAAACUUACAUUUUAAUAAAGAGAUUCCACGCUACUUAAGAUGCUUUUAAAAUGAGCUACUUGUCACUUGCAAUACAGCAUCAUAGUGGCAAGCAACACUUCAAUUAUAUUAGCUAACCAAAGUGUCCGUUUGGACUUGUUUUAGUUCCUGCUUGAGCAUUCCCUACAAUAUGGACUAUUUUUUCCAUCUUUGGAGAGAAUAGACAGGCACACCAAGGACAUGAACCGGAACUAUAUCAAGGUCACAUUGAAAAUGCAAGAUAUUUUGCACAGAUAUGGCAUUCCACAUACAUUGACUAUUGUGUUUAAGACCAACCUCCACUCUGCCUUGUGUCAGACUGCAUGCAUCACUCCUUAUAGUAAACUAUUUGGAAUUGGUUUACAGCAGAUGAAAGGGAAAUUUUGAAAAUAGGCCUUCAGCGUAGAUCUUGAAGCAAACCACUGCCACAAAAGGGCAAAUACACACACAGUAUUACACAAAACCGAAGACAAACUAUUUUAUGGAUUACCACUUUCAGAGAUAAUUGGAGGUUGCAUUUAUUCAAAUGAGGUGGGAAUCAGCACAGUUGACGGUUGCCCUCUCCUGCAGUCCAUCCAGUUUCAUGGCUUGAUUAUUCAGGAAGGCAGAUUUUCCAAAUCAGUUGAAGUAAACACCCACCUCUCAGCCGUUCCGUCUGUUAGAGCUGAGUGUAGGAUGUUUACAUGAACUAAGAAUCAGGGAUAACAAUGUGAACACAACACUGAUGCACUUCAAAGGAGUCCAUACUUCAAUAUUUCAAGAUACCAGGUACACAGAAUGCAAUGGAGAGAAUCAACAUUAUUUUCCAGCCUUAAAUCCCCCUUGCUGAAGCCAGAACUUUCGUUUUAAGGGAGUUAAAAUCUCAACUAGGACACAUUGCUUUUGAACAUGUCUGUACUGUGUGUGUGUGUGUGUGUGUGUGUGUGUGUGUGUGUAUAUAUAUAUAUAUAUAUAUAUAUAUAUUACCUUUCCUUUUUCUGUUGACAGCAUGUUAAGUUUAUUGUUCAAAGAACAAGCAAAGAUUUAAAAAUAAGGGAAUAAAAACCACAAGAGGCAAUAAAAGCAAGCAGACAGUGGUCACACUAUUCCAUCAUGAUGCAAGUAAUAUAUCUUAUUGACAUUCCCCUACGAUCUCCCAGAAAUUUGAAUUUAAAGCAUAGCUGAGGUGAAAAUUAAAAGAUUAAUUGCUUGCACAUUGCAGCAGGGAUCCAAAUAGUGACUUGAGAUUCAUCCAAGAGUUUGAGUAAUCUCAGUAGCACUUUACAGUGGUGCCCCGCAAGACGAAUGCCUCGCAAGACGGAAAACUCGCUAGACGAAAGAGUUUUCCGUUUUGGAGGUGCUUCGCAAAACGAAUCUCCUAUGGGCUUGCUUCGCAAGACGAAAAUGUCUUGCGAGUUCCUGUGGGUUUUUUUUCCUCCCCCCCCCCCCUUUUUCUAAGCCGCUAAGCCGCUUAUCUGCUUAUCCGAUAAGCUGAUAAGCCGCUAAAAGCCGCUAAUAGCGCUAAUAGCGCUAAUCCGCUAAUCUGUCAAUGGGCUUGCUUUGCAAGACGAAAAAACCACUAGACGAAGAGACUCACAGAACGGAUUCUUUUCGUCUUGCGAGGCACCACUGUACUUUCAUAUCUCUAAACAGUGCAUUCCUCUGCCAUACUACAAAUUGCUUUUUAAAAGUCCCCUCAAUUUUGUUUGCCAUUUGAGUCAGUGAUCCUGUGUUCAUAAGAGCAAGUUUCAAAGCCCCUUAGACACAGAACCGUUUGCAUACUUCAUAGGAUCCCAACCAGCUUAUGACACAAGGGUUAUCACAAAGGCAUUGUAAAUAAAAAAAUUGUCCAGUAGCACCUCAGAGACCAACUAAGUUAGUUCUGGGUAUACAUCUGAAGAAGUGUGCAUGCACACGAAAGCUUAUACCCAGAACUAACUUAGUUGGUCUCUAAGGUGCUACUGGACAAUUUUUAUU